ACGACUCUCGACAACGGAUAUCUCGGCUCUCGCAUCGAUGAAAAACGUAGCGAAAUGCGAUACUUGGUGUGAAUUGCAGAAUCCCGUGAACCAUCGAGUCUUUGAACGCAAGUUGCGCCCGAAACCAUUAGGUUGAGGGCACGUCUGCCUGGGUGUCACGU
rnacentral:rRNA from 1 species